rnacentral:rRNA from 1 species
UACGUAGGGGGCAAGCGUUAUCCGGAUUCAUUGGGCGUAAAGCGCGUGUAGGCGGUCCGUUAGGUCGGGAGUUAAAUCCGGGGGCUCAACCCCCGCCCGCUCCCGAUACCGGCGGACUUGAGUCUGGUAGGGGAAAGUGGAAUUCCCAGUGUAGCGGUGGAAUGCGCAGAUAUUGGGAAGAACACCGGUGGCGAAGGCGGCUUUCUGGGCCACGACUGACGCUGAGACGCGAAAGCUAGGGGAGCAAACAGGAUUAGAUACCCUGGUAGUCCCUGAGCGGGCUGGCAAGG